rnacentral:rRNA from 3 species
UAGUGGCGAACGGGUGAGUAACACGUGGGCAAUCUGCCCUUCACUCUGGGACAAGCCCUGGAAACGGGGUCUAAUACCGGAUAACACUCCUGCCUGCAUGGGUGGGGGUUAAAAGCUCCGGCGGUGAAGGAUGAGCCCGCGGCCUAUCAGCUUGUUGGUGAGGUAGUGGCUCACCAAGGCGACGACGGGUAGCCGGCCUGAGAGGGCGACCGGCCACACUGGGACUGAGACACGGCCCAGACUCCUACGGGAGGCAGCAGUGGGGAAUAUUGCACAAUGGGCGAAAGCCUGAUGCAGCGACGCCGCGUGAGGGAUGACGGCCUUCGGGUUGUAAACCUCUUUCAGCAGGGAAGAAGCGAAAGUGACGGUACCUGCAGAAGAAGCGCCGGCUAACUACGUGCCAGCAGCCGCGGUAAUACGUAGGGCGCAAGCGUUGUCCGGAAUUAUUGGGCGUAAAGAGCUCGUAGGCGGCUUGUCACGUCGGUUGUGAAAGCCCGGGGCUUAACCCCGGGUCUGCAGUCGAUACGGGCAGGCUAGAGUGUGGUAGGGGAGAUCGGAAUUCCU